ensembl:lncRNA
CACUUGAGUACCUGGUCAAUAUAAUGGACAAUCUGUGGUCACACACGAUAACUGAAUUUUGUUAGUCACACGUGAUAUCCCAAUUGGUCCAAGGGAGGGGCGCUGCAUCGUUCGUGGGGGACGACAUUUUUACUGUUGCCUUGUUUUUGUGUGUAAGUGCAUGUAUCAUUUUGAGUGUACGUGUGUGUGGGUUGCAAACAUUUCUAUUGGAUCGUGACAAUACCGAUCCACAUUUUCUGUGCAAAGCACACAUUUCUGCCAAGCCUACGGAAUGAGAGGAUAUUCACAGUGUUACUGGUGUGAUAUGUUAUCUUGACAAGGGGCAACAUGAAAGCUCAUCCGGUGGGUGAGUGGGUUGGUAGUUCUUCUGGAUGUACUAUAGCAACCUCCAUGCUUCCCACAACUUCCUUCCUCCAUAAUGCAGUGUUCCGCCUCACAUGGCCGGGGGUUGGUCCCUGUCUGAUCCUUUUCCAGGCCUUGCAGCCAAAUGUCUAUGAGGAUGAAGAAGACGCCGAUGCAGAAAGCAUUAUCUUCCACACUCCCACAUUAACAAUGAUAAAUUCCUUACAUAAACCAUGAUUCACACGUCUGUGUGUGUGUGUGUGUGUGUGUGUGUGUGUGUGUGUGUGUGUGUGUGUGUGUGUGUGUGUGUGUGUGUUGAGAGCGAAAAAGAAAGAAAGAAAAAAAAAGAAAAAGAAAGAUGAAAAAAAGAAAAGAAAAAAAGAAAGGACAAAAGAAAGGGAGUGAGUAUAUAUAUAUGAGAGUGUGUCUGGCUGACCUCCUGUGACUAAUCUCUGUUCUGUCUGUCUCACACCUGUCUCUUCCCACAGGGAAGGAAGGUAAUACUUCCCUCAGAGUUACUAAUACACUUUCACUCCACCUAUCAGAGGAGAAGGGGGAGAGGAGGAGAGAGAGAAUGGGGAAAAAAGAGAGAAAAAGAUGGAAGUGAUAUUGAGGAAGAAAGAGAUAGAGAUAAGGAGGGAGAACGAGAAAGAGUGACUGAGGGAAAUGGAGGUGGAAAGAGAGGGGGAGGGUAGAAAGCAAAGAAGAGAGAAACAGCUUUUGGCUAGUGUUGUGUGCAUGUUGCAUGUCACAGUGCUGGUCGUCACCUGCAGCCAGAGUUCAGGGGUAAUGGGGGCUGUCGCACACACACAACUAGUUCUAUCCUGUGCCCUGUGGUCCAAUCAUCAAUAGCUGUAGUUAUGUUUGGGUCACACAGGAGGUCACAACCUCUCACUUGCCAGUGAACUCAGCAGGGAGGGGGAAUGAUAAAUACUGUACUGUGUGUGUGUAUGUGUGUGUGUGGGUGUGUGUGUGUGUGUGUGUGUGUGUGUGUGUGUGUG